UACGUAGGGUGCGAGCGUUGUCCGGAAUUAUUGGGCGUAAAGAGCUCGUAGGCGGUCUGUCACGUCGAUCGUGAAAACUUGGGGCUUAACCCUGAGCUUGCGGUCGAUACGGGCAUGACUGGAGUUCGGCAGGGGAGACUGGAAUUCCUGGUGUAGCGGUGAAAUGCGCAGAUAUCAGGAGGAACACCGAUGGCGAAGGCAGGUCUCUGGGCCACUACUGACGCUGAGAAGCGAAAGCAUGGGGAGCGAACAGG
rnacentral:rRNA from 1 species